rnacentral:rRNA from 1 species
UACGGAGGGGGCUAGCGUUGUUCGGAAUUACUGGGCGUAAAGCGCACGUAGGCGGCGAUUUAAGUCAGAGGUGAAAGCCCGGGGCUCAACCCCGGAACUGCCUUCGAUACUGUACGGCUCGAGACCGGAAGAGGUGAGUGGAACUGCGAGUGUAGAGGUGAAAUUCGUAGAUAUUCGCAAGAACACCAGUGGCGAAGGCGGCUCACUGGUCCGGUUCUGACGCUGAGGCGCGAAAGCGUGGGGAGCAAACAGG